rnacentral:rRNA from 1 species
UUAUGGCUCAGAUUGAACGCUGGCGGCGUGCUUAACACAUGCAAGUCGCGCGUGAAAGGACUUCGGUCCGAGUAAAGCGGCGCACGGGUGAGUAACGCGUGGAUGAUCUACCCAUGAGUUAGGAAUAACGGCUGGAAACGGUCGCUAAUACCAAAUACGCUCCGAUUUCAACUUCGGGGGAAAGGUGGCCUCUGCUUGCAAGCUACUGCUCAUGGAUGAGUCCGCGUCCCAUUAGCUAGUUGGUGGGGUAACGGCCCACCAAGGCGACGAUGGGUAGCCGGUCUGAGAGGAUGACCGGCCGCACUGGGACUGGAACACGGCCCAGACUCCUACGGGAGGCAGCAGUGGGGAAUAUUGCGCAAUGGGCGAAAGCCUGACGCAGCGACGCCGCGUGAAGGGAUGAAGGUCCUCGGAUCGUAAACCUCUGUCAGGAGGGAAGAACCGCCACGGUGCUAAUCAGCCGUGGUCUGACGGUACCUCCAAAGGAAGCACCGGCUAACUCCGUGCCAGCAGCCGC